rnacentral:lncRNA from 1 species
AUGCGACCCUCUGGACUUUACGGCUUGGAGAGAGCCACCUCCUUUCCUCUUGCAAAGGCAGGACGGGGGCCACAGCCUGCUCCCUCCUCGGCCCCAUCCCAGGCGAAUCCUCUUUGUCUCUGCCUAGGUUUCCUCUUGCUCUCGGCUGUUCUGCAUUUUAGCUGCUGCCCCCCUGGUGCCCUGGCAGAGCCGGCCUCCAUCUCGGCAGCUCCCCUUUCCUCCAACAGCUCCAUGAAUGGAACCAGCACGGAGCCUGUAAGACCAUUGCACCACCAAGCAACAUGCGCACAGCCCCCCCCCCAGGGUAGCCGAGGGAGUCUUGUGGUGGUGGAGGUGGUGGGGACACUCAUGGACCUGGCACACCAUGAAAACCUGCCAUUCUUGUGCCCAAUAGCCAGGGAGCCCCCACUGAGGAGAGAGCAGGGCCACGGCAAGGGCCACUGGAACGGGGGGGGGGGGAAGGCUUGAGAUAAAUCAGGACGCCUGGCCAGCCGCACAUCUUCAGCACCUUCUCUUGCUGCAGCUCACUUGCCAAAGCUUCCAGUGUUCAGGGGAGAGAUGCUACCAGUUGGAAACCCUUGGAAACCGCACCGAGACCUGCCACAACGCAACGCUCUGUGAGGUGGGGGCCCUAGUGCUCCCUUGGGGAGGGGAGGCAGGGGGUGUGAGGGACCCUCAGUGGAUCCCUGGGCUCUAGCCUGGAGCCAUGGGUGGGCCCUCAUUACAGCUCCCUUCCCCUAUAUUUGCUGGGGCUGAGGCCUGACCCUCCUCGUGCCUCUCUGGCUCGGGCAGCUUUUCCGCCUGAACAGCACCAGCUACACGGCCCAGUGCAGCCAGGAGUGUGGGGGCGCCAAUGCCAUGGAGAUGUGUGGGCGCAACGGGGAUGGCUCUGACCUGAGCCCCUGCACCCUGGAAUGCUGCAGCACCCCCAACUGCCUGCGCCUCAAUGCCACCGCCUAUGGUAAGCCAGCCCCACCCCACCCAAUGCCCCACCGGGGGGGGUAGGGGGCAGUCUGGAUGCAUAUUGGGGGUGUGGGUGCUGACUGACCCCCUCCCUCCCUGCCUCCCUCCCUCAGUGGUUCCUCUUGGCUGUGCCUGGCUGCUCAGUCCCUGGACCACCGAAUGCCACCCCCGCCCCCGAAUCUCCGUCUAGCCCUCAGAGGUAUGC